AUUGACCAUACAAAAGAUAGUCAACCUUUUUCCUUCCUAGAGCUACCCGUGAAUCUGGUGCCAAGGCAAGAGAGGAAAAGUCGAUUUCUUAUCUUUCUGAGACUGGCGGUGGCCCUUGCCAAUUCAAGAUGGUGGAAAGCUGCACUUGAAGUCCAACUCUGUCCUGGGGGAAUAAUUAUGUUCCCUCUCUUGGGAGCCUUUCUUCAGGGAGCUUGAUGGUUCCAACCCACCCAGGAGCCUGGGACAUCUGUGCCCCUGGGCAAUCCCCUGCAGUUUCCUGAUUCCAAGAUGAGGGGGUAGAAUCUGAAGAUCUCCAAGGCCUUGAUGAGUGCUACCAGUCUGCAAAUUCCCAAGCCAAGUUCUUCAAUGAAUCAAAUUUCCUCCAGUAGCCAUUUCUACCAAAGGAGCAACUGUUUUUCCUUCCCACUGACAUGGCUAUGUAUUCGAACUGGAUAUAGGUGAGAGGCAUUUUUGUCCUAGCUUCUCGGGCCCCUCCAAGGAGCUCCAAGAGGCUUAAGG